UACGUAGGGUGCGAGCGUUGUCCGGAAUUACUGGGCGUAAAGAGCUCGUAGGUGGUUUGUCGCGUUGUUCGUGAAAACUCACAACUCAAUUGUGGGCGUGCGGGCGAUACGGGCAGACUGGAGUACUGCAGGGGAGACUGGAAUUCCUGGUGUAGCGGUGGAAUGCGCAGAUAUCAGGAGGAACACCUGCGGCGAAGGCGGGUUGCUGGGCUGACACUGACGCUGAUGCGCGAAAGCCAGGGGAGCGAACGGG
rnacentral:rRNA from 1 species